UGUAAUGACAUUAAACUAUCAUGUAUGAAGUCAGGAGGUGAUUUCCAUGUGUGUGUUCAUUCUGCAGAUACAAUAAGUGAACAGACAUUUCUAUUGGCUUCUCUUGGACCAGCACUGAUGCUUCAUAUGUUCGAUGCAAACUCCAUGAGCGUCCAGCUUUAAAAACAUCAGACUGUCAGCAAAGUUCACAGCACAUCAGUUUCACCUCCAACCAUGUUGUCUGUAGCUCUACUGCUGCUCUUUGCAGCUGCAUCCUGUGUGAAGUGUGAACAGUUGACUCAGCCACAAUCUGUGACUGUGCAGCCAGGUCAACGUCUCUCCAUCACCUGUCAGGUCUCUUAUUCUUUGGGCAGCUACGCCACAAACUGGAUCAGACAUCCUGAAGGAAAAGCAAUGGAAUGGAUCGGUGCUGCACGUGUUGGAGCCACCUCAAGCUACAAAGAUUCACUGAAGAACAAGUUCAGUAUCAACUUAGACUCUUCCAGCAAAACAGCCACUCUGAAUGGACAGAAUAUGCAGCCUGAAGACUCUGCUGUGUAUUACUGUGCCAGAUACACACAGUGACACAAAUGAUCAGUAGACCUGAACAAAAACCCCUCAGUGUCUGAACACUUGUAACAUGAAGCCACCAGAGGAGGAGCCCUCAGACCAGGAAUGAAUUCAGACAAAUGCAACGAGAAAUCACUUAUGUACUGUAUAUAACACCGAAAAUGUGGAAAUUUUAUAAAGUCUUGACACCUUGAAAUGAAAAUUAAAAUAAAGCGAAAAUUUGGAAAA